GACGGAGGGGGCUAGCGUUGUUCGGAAUUACUGGGCGUAAAGCGUGCGUAGGCGGCUUUUCAAGUUGGGUGUGAAAGCCCGGGGCUCAACCCCGGAGGUGCGCCCAAGACUGUUUGGCUAGAGACCCGGAGAGGUGAGUGGAACUCCCAGUGUAGAGGUGAAAUUCGUAGAUAUUGGGAAGAACACCAGUGGCGAAGGCGGCUCACUGGACGGGUACUGACGCUGAGGCACGAAAGCGUGGGGAGCAAACAGG
rnacentral:rRNA from 1 species